UACGUAGGGGGCAAGCGUUAUCCGGAAUUACUGGGUGUAAAGGGAGCGUAGACGGUAAUGUAAGUCUGGAGUGAAAGGCGGGGGCCCAACCCCCGGACUGCUCUGGAAACUAUGUUACUAGAGUGCAGGAGAGGUAAGCGGAAAUCCUAGUGUAGCGGUGAAAUGCGUAGAUAUUAGGAGGAACACCAGUGGCGAAGGCGGCUUACUGGACUGUAACUGACGUUGAGGCUCGAAAGCGUGGGGAGCAAACAGG
rnacentral:rRNA from 1 species